rnacentral:lncRNA from 1 species
GAUUCAAUGCAAUGCCCAACCCCAUAACUGAAAUACCAAACCCCAAUCUUGGAAACCCCAUAAAUCCUUCGUUGCUGAUGUCGUCUUCGAUUUCUACAAUGCCACAUAUUCUUUUCCAGAACAUGUCAAUGAUCAAGAAGGGGAUGCUUUUAACUUGUAAUGAACCUUAGAGCAGGGGAUAGUUCUCUCUCCCCAAUUAGAUGACGGAACUGCGACUGACACG